AAUUUCAUCACUGCCAUGAUUUCUGCAUAUCAGGGCAAAAACGUUCUAAUAGAUGCAGAACAUUCACUGUACCCCAACAAGGUAAACUUGUAACUUCUGUAACGUUCUUUGUGGUCCUUGUAUCUUUAUACUACUUAUAGGUGCAAGUAGAUACAUAAACGUGUAGAGAAGUAUUAUCGACAAAUCUUGUAUUUUUUCUAGAAUGCAAGGAAAGAGUGUUUGGAACAUGUAGCAACAAAAGUGGCCAAAGUCUUGCAAGGCAUUACCGCUGAUGACUGCAGGGCCAAAUUCUCAACUUUGUGGUCUCACUAUGGCGCUGAACUGAAGAAAACACAUCAGAACGAGAGCAGUGGCUCAUCCAGUGCCGUAUACAGGCCAAGAGUCUGGUAGUUUGAUGUUUUACAUUUCCUGAAAGACUUCAUUACACCACGCGAAAGCCGGUGUAACAUUCCGAACAGUAUUGUGCCUCACAACUCUGGUACAGAAAUCCCGAGGACUAGGAAGACGCCUGACAACUCAGUGAUAGAAAUCAACAGGACUGAGAUCAUAAUUUUUUAUGAUGAGAGUAGUAAUAUCGAUAGCCC